GCGAAAGCAUUUGCCAAGAAUGUUUUCAUUAAUCAAGAACGAAAGUCAGAGGUGCGAAGGCGAUCAGAUACCGCCGUAGUUCUGACCGUAAACGAUGCCGACUGGCAAUUGGGCGCACUUCUGUCGAAGUUGCCGCCAGCAGUACUGCCCGGGAAACCAAAGUCAUUGGGUUCCGGGGGGAGUAUGGUUGCAAAGCUGAAACUUAAAGGAAUUGACGGAAGGGCACCACCAGGAGUGGAGCCUGCGGCUUAAUUUGACUCAACACGGGAAACCUCACCCGGCCCGAACACUGUUAUGACAGACAGGUUGAGAGCUCUUUCUCGAUUCAGUGGUUGGUGGUGCAUGGCCGUUCUUAGUUCGUGGAGUGAUCUGUCUGGUUAAUUCCGAUAACGAACGAGACUCUUGCCUGCUAAAUAGACGGCGUCGGCCACGCGUCGGCGACCGUUCGCUUCUUAGAGGGACAAGCGGCUUUCAGCCGCGUGAAGCCGAGAGCAAUAACAGGUCUGUGAUGCCCUCAGAUGUUCGGGGCCGCACGCGCGCUACACUGUUUGCAUCAGCGUGUUCCACCCGCGCCGACUGGCGCGGGCAACCCGUUGAACCGCAAACGUGCUAGGGAUCGGAGAUUGCAAUUGUUCUCCGUGAACGAGGAAUUCCUUGUACUGGCGAGUCAUCAGCUCGCGGGGAAUCUGUCCCUGCCCUUUGUACACACCGCCCGUCGCUACUACCGAUUGAGUGGUUUAGUGAGGCUCACGGACUGCGCGCGGCAACCGACUCCCUUCGGGGGGGCGCCGUCGCGUGCGGAAAGUGUGACGAACUUGAUCACUUCUAGGAAGUAAAAGUCGUAACAAGGUUUUCGUAGGUGAACCUGCGGAAGGAUC
rnacentral:rRNA from 1 species